GGCCAGGCUCCGGGUCCCGCUCGCGCCCCUGGCCGCGGUCCCGGCCUCGGUCUGAAGCCUUGCCGCUGCUGCGGCCCGGAUCCCGCUUUGGCUCCGGCACUGGCUUCGGCUCGUUGCCGCUGACGCCGCCGCGCGCUCGCCCCUCCAGGUCAUGCUGCCGCUCCUGCUCGCCCUCAUGCCGGCGCUUCUGCCCCCGGUCGCUAUCACGCUCCCGCUCUCGCUCCUGCUCCCGGCCGCGUGUAGACUCCUUCUCGUCAUGCUUGCGUUGCUGGUCAUGCUCGCGCUCACUGCCGCGCUCCCGCGUCUGCUCCGGCCCGGGACCGCGCUCCCGGUCCCGGCCCCUGCCGCCCUCCUUGUCCCGGUCCCGCUGCCGGUCUCGCUCGCGCCCCGGCUCCGCCGUGCGCUUUCUCUCAGGAGACCGGUCGCGGUCACGCUUGCGGUCAGCGUCACGUGGCCUUUCGCGCCCCGAGCUUCGCGCCUGCGGCUGGUCACAGUCGCUGCUGUUGCCCUGCGGCUGCUCAUCCCGCCCUCGCUUUUUAUCGUUCGGCUGCUGCUCCACGCCCAGCCCUUGCUCGCGCUCCACAGCUGGCUCCCUGUCCACAGCCUGGGCCUGCGGCAGCGGCAGUGCUGCUGACAAGAGUGCGGAGAGCGAACCGGCCUGUCCUGGCGGCUGCUCGCGUGGGGACGGAAGAGGCGGCUGUUGCGAGGGCUGCAGCUGCGGUUGGGGCGACAGCGGAGGUUGUGGCUGCUGCGGCUCUAGCGGCCGUGGUGGUGCCGCCGCUGGCGGUGACACCAGUGGCUGCUCGGCCGGCUGCGGCUGCGGUGGUGGCGACAUGCGUUGCACCGCAGACGGAGACCAGACGAUUGGCGUGCACCCGGUGCUGGACCGUCGCCGCAUGGUCCCUGAAGCAUCUAGGCCCUCCUGCUGCUGGUGCUGCAUUCCUCCUGCCUUGUCCUUGCCAGUUUGGCCUUGCUGCGCAGCCUGUGGGCUCCUCAAUCCAACGUCCGGCUGCAGGGCAGCCCCCGCCUGCCCCGCUGUCUUGCUGCGAUGCCUUUGGCUGUCGGUUCCACCGCGCUCUUCACGCGGCCGGGAUUCCUGCCGUUGCUCGUUCGUGUCAGGCACAGACCGCGGCGUGUUAGAAGCCGUCGGAGCAGCUGCGCCCGCCAGGUGUGGUGGGAGGAGCGACGGAGACAGCGGCCGCAGCGAUUCCUGCUGUUGCUGCAUCUGCAUCUGCUGCAGCUGGCCCUGCGCUAACGGCGGCGGCGGCGGUAGUGCCUGCUGCUGCGACUGUGGCUGGUCUCUAUCGCGGCCCGUUUCCGCAUCACGGGACGCCUGUUUGUCGCGCUCCCGCUCCCGCUCCCGCUCCUUGCUGCUGUCUUGCCGCCGAGCCAUAUCUGUCCGGUCUCGGUCGCGCUUCCCUUGACGUUCCCGAUCGCGGUCACCGUCCCGGCUGCGGUCUCGCGCUGCAGGCUUCGCUGCUGCCGCCGCCGCCGCAGCGUCCGCCGCUUUUGGCGUGCCUGUGUUAUGACCAAAAGCACCCAAAGAUGCGGGGCGAGGGGAGGGCGGCAGCUGCUGCGGAGCUGCUGCUGCUGCUGGUGCCGCCAUCGUCGGCGCUGCCGGGCUUGGUCCUGUGGCCGCUGUUAUCGCUGCCGCCGCCGCCGCUGCUGCUGAGGGCUCGCUGCCGCCAUGGCCGUCAGCCCGGUCGCUCUUGCUGGGUUCCGCUCCGCGUUCCUUGCCACGCAGCGACUGCUGCGACUCUUUGCCCUCGGCACGCUCUUGCUGCUUGCGCUUCUCCCUCUCCCUCUCCUUCUCCCUGUCCCUGUCCCUCUCGCGCUCCUUCUCUUUCCCCCGCUCUUUGUCCCUGUCCUUAUCCUUCUGCUGCUGCCGCACCUUGUCGGCAUCCAUGCCGCGCUGCCUGUCGCCACUCACGGCACGAUCCCGGUCCCGGUCCCGGUCCCGGUCCCGAUCCCGGUCCCGGUCCCGGUCCCGGUCCCCGUCGCGCUCACGCUCCCGGUCCUUUAAGCGGCCGUCGCCGUGCUCCUUGUUGGCGCUGAGGCCCUGCGCCCCAUCCCGGCGCCGGCUGCGCUCUUGCUCCGGCUUCUGCCGGCCGCCCUCGCGGUCCCGACCCCGGUCUCGGUCCCUGGUGUCGCCACGCUCCCACUCUCGCUCCCGCUUGCGCUCCCGAUCGCGGUCACGGGCCGCGUCGCAACGGCCGUCGCCGCCGCCAGCUGCGGUCGAGUCGACGGCACGCCGCCUGUCGGGUGUUGCGUCAGCUGUGGACGUGGUGGCUGCCGGCGGCCGCGUCGGUUGGGCUGCGCCGUUGUCGGGCGUUGCCGCAGGGGCAGUGCCGCUCGGCGUCGUGACAGCGCCCCUGCCGCCUGCGUCGUCGCGCUGGCUGGCGCCAUGUUGCGGCGAGCAAGGCAGCGACAGCUGUGGCGGCGGCAGACCCUGCUGCGGCUGCGGUGGCUGCAGCGGAACCGCUGCUGCAACUCCUGCCUCCCCACCAGCACUGCCCGCCUGCACCGCAGCCGCUGCUGCUGCCGCUGCCGCUGCGCCUGCCGCAGCCCCCUGGGCGGCUUGAUGCCACGCCGCCGCCUCCUGGGGCAGCGGGAAGGCCUGCACCUCGCCGGGCAGGUGCAGCAGUGCCUCGUGGCGUGCCAGCGAGGCCUGCGCGUCAUCCAGCGCCUCCUCCGCCGCCGCCGCCUGCGGCAGCCUGUCCUCGGCCACCUCCCACCUGUCCGCCACGGGCGCCCACCAGUCAUCGCCUCGGUCCAGGAGCAGCUGCUCGCCGGGCCGCAGGUCGCGGACGGCCACCAGCACCGGCAGCACCACGCCACGCACCGCAACCGGCACCACCUAGCAAAUGAAGGAGUGAGGCGGUUCCAAGGGAAACCUCAAGAAAGCUCCAAAGGGCAACGUGCAUGGCCUCGGGUUUCGGGUCACACGGCGUAUGGGCAGCUAGGGCGGAGCUGCGUGAGAACAGCCCGCAGCGCAGGGCGCUACCGCAAGACAGUCCCAGUCCGCCGUGUCACGCAAAACCGCGUCCGCCCCGUCCGCCUGCCCGCUCCCAUCCCCGCGCGCACCCACCACGCAGUUGGCCUGGCGCUCCUCCUCCGGAGGCUCCGGCAGCUCUAAAUCAUCCGUCGCGUGCCGCCGCUGCCCCGGGUCGUUCACCAGCGCCAACACGCUGCGUGCCGCCCCCAUGCUGAACAGCGUGAACUCCUGCUGCCGCGGCGCCGGCAGCUGCGAGUGCAUGCUCUGGGCGCUGUCCGGGGGUGCGGUACCUGUGCCUGCUCCGGCUGCUGCCGCGGCUGUUGCCCGGUCCGCUGCCGCGGCUGCUGCUGCUUUGGCGGCAGCCGCCGCGCCCGGCGUCUCCGUCAGCUCCGGCGGGUAGGGCAGGCGGUAGGACAGGGACAGGAAGACCCACACUCCCCCAGUCUCGCCGCGCCGCCGCAGCUCCAGCAGCAGAGGGGGGUCGCCGCUAGCUGGGCGGUGGCUGGACGCCGCGCGCGGGUGGCCCGCGUAAGCGAAAUUGUACGCGUCCUCAGAGCCGCCCGCAGUGCCCUGCGGGGCCGCACAGGUCGCGGGUGCGCGCGACAUGGAGCGAGCAGAUGCCUUACUUGCGUACAUCCCACCUUUACUUACGUAGAUCGCACCUCUGCCCGCUUCAUGACGACGCUCAAAAACCCGCCUUCUGACCCGCCAUAUUUGGGACGUCAAGGUACGCAUGCGCUCACCUGCAGCACCCAGCCAGGCAUCACACCCAAGGGGUGGAACUUCCGGACCUCCGUGGUCACGCACGCGCCCAGCCCGCCGCGCCGGGCGUCGCGGCACGCCACCACGCAGGGUAGCGUCACGGGGCCGCGCGGCAGCGGCGUGGUGGCGUCAUACAAGUCCUGUUGUGGGAGGACGAGGGUGGCCCAGGUUCGCUAAUAUUCCGUUGCAGAACCCUGUUGCAGUGGUCAAAUGUCAAUCAAGCGUCCAUAUGGACACAUUGUCCUGGCUUGUUUGGGAUCACGUUCGGGGCGUGUGCGGUGUUCCAGACUGGACAAUACGCUCGAGCGCACCUUGAGAUUCAGCAGGCUCGCAAGGCGGCGCUGAAGCACACCGGUCCUGGUGCCGCUGCUGCUGCCGCCGCCCUCGCCGCCCCGAAAUAGAGCAUGCCAAGGCCUCGGCUGCGCCGACGCUGGCAGCGCCGCCUGCUGCCCAUGGCCUUUGUCUCCCUUUCUGCUGCCUCCACCAGGCAACGGCGCGAUCUCGACUGCGGGCGUCUGCUCAUUGCCGGCGUGGCGUCGUAGCCAGUCCGCCCGCCCGGCGCGGGCGAAGGCGGCCGCCGCGGCAGCGCCACCGUCCCGCCUGACCGCAAACACGACGCCGCACAGUCGCAGCGACCCGUCGUCUUCAGCUUCCGUGGGCACCUCGCGUGCUGCUGCCUGCGGCGCGCCGCCGCCGGCCCCCGCAGCCUCCGCGGCACCAGGCAGCAGCCGCCUCCAGCGCAUCUGCUCCAGCGUGAUGGUGCCGGCGACCUGCUCCCACUGUGCAUCAGCGGCGGCGGGCGGCGUGAAGCUGGCGGGGUCGGCGCCGGCCGGCACCCAGCCGUCCGGGUCGUGCACGCAGGCGGCGGCGCCUGCCGCGCCAGCAGCCGCCGCGGUGCCGAGGCCGGGCUGCUGUAGCGGCUGGGGCUCCUGGGGCGGCUUCCGCUGCUGCUGCUGCUGCUGCUGCUGCCCUGUUGCGGCGUCGCGGGCCAGCGGCGGCGGCGAGACGCUCGGCUUGGGGCGCGCAGGCGCCACUGGAGCCGGCGGCGGCGCACGCGGCCGCGGCGGCGCGCCGUCCUUGGCCGCGGCCUCGCCUUUGCUGCCGGCAGACCUGGCGGCUGCCCCGCCGUCGGCACUCCGCGGGCUGGGGGCCUCCCGGCUGGUGGUGGCUGGCGCCGCCGGCGCUGCGGCCGCGACCCCGGGAUCCGUCACACCACGCGCCCCGUGUGCCACCGCCACGGCAGCCCGCCGCGCCAGUCCUCCCGCUGCUGCCCCGGCACGCUCCCCCUCCUGCUCAUCGUCCUCAGAGCCCUCCUCGCCCUCAUCCAAGCCCUCAUACGCGCCCUGCUCCUGCCCCGACUGCUCGUCAGCUACGGCCGCGCCCCGCGGCCAACGCCAGAGGCAGCGCACGGCGUAGUGCGGGGGGGCCCGCCGCGCCGCGCCCGCCGCCAGCGGCCGUCCGACAUUGUCGCAGGCUUCCAGGACCAACUCCUUGCCGACCGCCAAGCCCAAUCGCUUGCGCAUGUCAGCUGGAAUCGUCAUGUACAGGUUAGCCCUGCGGCUGCAUAAUUUACGCUGUGGAAUGCAGGCGGGGAAACAAGGCGGGGCGUUGGUGGGCCAGCGAGAGCCGUCGGAGCGCAUUGGACGCGCUAGCAGGUGGCGGUGAGGGUGCGGAGCAAAGUGACAGGCGUGGCGGGCGGGACGUUGGAUUCCAGACUUGGACAUGCAGGGAAUGGCGCGGCUCACCGUAAAGGUUUCCUUCGUCCGCCCAAUGUGCAGGACCACGGAGCUGCCUAUGCCCAGCCCGGCGAACCCGCCGCCCGGACAGCACCAUGCCUGGGGGAUGAUGAUGCACCUGCGCCAGCAAAUAACAACACAGAAAGGGCCGGCGCGUGUUUGCACCACCACCCCUUGAGUGACCGCAGUUGCCAGGAGCUUCGUCCCAAGCCGAGUGACGAAAGCUAUCAGCCGAUGCCUGCCAGUGUGGGAGUUCAUGUUAAUGCGCUUACCCGUCGGCGUCGGUUUUCGACAGCACCUUGCGAAGGGCUGCACCCGCCUCCGCCGCCACCGCCGCCGCAGCCCUGUCCCCGCCAUGCUGUGCCGCCGCCGCCGCCGCCGCGAGGCGCCCAGAUUGUGGCAGCGCCUCCACGAGCACCUCAUCUUCGCCGUCCAACACGGCCUCAUCCUCGGACUGCAGGACCUCAUCCUCAUCCGGCUCCUCAUCCUCGUCUUCAUCCUCGUCCGUCACCGCACCCGCGGCCCCUCUAGCGGCCGCGCCGGCAUUGCCGGCGGCUCGGCCGGACCUGCCAUGUAGUCCCGCCCCGUCGGUUCUGGUGCCCAAGACCUCCAGACAGAAGUGGCGCAGCGUCAGCGGUGCGUCGCCCGGCCGCAGCGGCCGGCCGUCCGUCCCGCACGGCGCAAGCACCAGCACGCGCCCGCGCUCCAUGCGCAAUGCAUCCUUCAGGGCCUUGCCGACACGAACGCCCAGUGCGCCCGAGAGGCCCACGUUGGCCUGCGCGUAGCGCAUGGGCCGGAAAGAGCUACUGACGGGUGGAGCGUCAAGCGUAGGCCCUAGCACAGUGUUUUGUUGCGCGUGCGGUCACGCAAGUUGUCACGUGUCAGCAUGUACACGCGGCUCGAGGGUAGUUACCCCAGGAGUCAUAGCGCUUCGCCAAAGCGCGCCGCACGUACCUGCGUGAACUCGGCAGAACCUCGCGCGUGUAGGCACAAGGCCUGCCCCCUCGUGGUACCCGCCAUGACUCCUCCCGCCUUCAGCCACGCCACAGGGAAUUUGACCUUCCUACAAAUCAGAGCAUGCCCGCACGCGUGAAGGACAUGCGUUAUCCUAGGUAUGUACAGAUCGGCAUUCCUCAUCAAGGCCCUAGAGUAAUGCAUGCUCUUGCCCGACUUGAGCCUUGUACACAGUCAAACAGCAUUACGUACUGUGCGCAGUCGGUUUUGGUGAGCUCCUUCAUGCAGGAAAUGUUGAAGGCGGGGAAUCCGCCAGCCACCGCGCCAGGCGCCGGCACACCGCCCACAGCAGGGCUAGCACCGGCAGCUGGAUUGGAUUCCGCGCGCUCCAUCCCGUCGACGCCUUGACCCUCUUGCUCCGCCUCCUUCUGCUGCUCGCCCUCCUCCGCAGCCGCCAUGUGCGCAUCCGCCUCCCCCGCAUCCGGCACUGCGGCCGGCGACCGCGCCUGCGGCCGCCGCUGCGGCUGCAGGGGCUGCUGCUGGUCCGCCCUGGGUUGCAGGAGCGCGACGCCGCCCGCGGCGAGGUCAGCCUUACGCACGCACCACACGGUGAAGUGCACGGGUGGCACGCUCCAGUCAGCUGCCAUCCGGGCCGCCGCUGCGGAGGCGUUCUCAUGCGCCUGUGCCGGCGACACGGCUGCGGCGGUGGCGGCGGCGGUCGAGGCCCAGGGGGCGGGCGGAUGCAGGCAGCGCGCAAAGACGAGUGCGUCGCCGACCGUCGGCUUGUAGUGAUCCAACAUGGCUUUGGUGUCGUGCAGGCGCUGAGCGCUGUUGCCGUUGCCGCGCACGCGCAUCUGCGGGUGUAGGUGCACACAUGCAGCGUUGGCGCGACGUCAAAGCACCGGCCUGAAGACGGCCCCAACGGCCAGCGCCAAUUCCACGCGGCAUGCAGCAGGUGCGGAAAACGCGCGGAAAAAGCAGCACGCGUGUGGUAUUCGAGCCACGGUGCGAUGCCGGGGCGAUGCCUUUAAACUCCCGGUUCCCCACACACGAUUCCUCCUUGCAGCUGAACCUACAACCACUGCCAAAACCUACCGCCCAGCUCCCGCCGCCUGCGCCGUCGUGCAGGAUCACAGGCCCGCAGAAGGGGUGUUCCCCGUUAUCGGCGUGUAGGCCGUGGAAGACUCCGUCCUCGCCAGUCAUGGCUGACGUAAAGCAGAUGGGCCCGCCCUUGACACUGUCCACCUCCGAGUUCGACAGCUGCUUGCUACAGAGCCUGUCCAGACUGGCUCCUGCGCCGCCGCCGCGUCCGCCACCACCCAUGAGGAGCGGCGGCGGCUGAGGCAGAGCCCGCGGCCGAGAUCGAGGCGUCGGGCUGACCGACCCGGCCGGCCCCUGCGGCGUGGCUUGAAGCUGGAGCGGCGCCGGCUUCGAGCGAAUGGCGCGCUCUUCGGAUAAAUCUGGGGUCGUCUGCGGCGGCGGCGGCGGCGGCCUACGCGGCACGGCGGCGCGGGCGGCGGCUGUGCCUUCUUCAGCUCCCUUGGAGUCUGAGGGUGACGGUCUCGCCGCGACCUUUUCCAAAGUGGGCUUCCGUAGGGCCGGCGACGCGCCCUCGGCUGCAGGCGCCGCCGCCGCCACGACAGCCCCGGCAGAGCCGCUGGGUACACGGCCCUGCUGCCGCUCCCACUGCGAGCCCGACGCCUCCUCGCCCUCCUCCUCCCCGCCGUCUCGAGACGCCCGAGACCCCUGCGCCCCCGCGCCCGCGUCGCCAGGAGCCGCCGAAGUCGGGCCCCGCCCUCCGCUGGUGGUGAUCACAGCGCCCACGGUCUCGCCACUGUAGCGGUCGCCGCCACCACCCGCGCUCCCAGGCGCAGCGACUGAGCGGGCCCCGCCGCCACCGCCGCCCAAGCCGCCCAGCCCACCAACGUUGCCGCUGCUGCCAACCUGUGCAAGGCCCGACAGCUCCGCCAGCGGCGGCGGCGCCGCCGGCGCCGCGCCAAAUCCCAACGCAGGGUGCCGGCUGCCUUGCUCUGCGCCUCCGAGCCCAGCAGCCCCUGCUACCGCGCCCGCAUGCACGCAAACGCCGGCGCUGCCGCCCGCGCCCGCGCCCGCCGCUGCUGCGUCCGCCUCCUCGCCAGCGGGCCUGAGCAGUGCGACAAUCUCGUACGGCCGCGCCGGCCUGGGCGGGUCCGCAGGCCCGGAGGCGCAGCUGCCGUUGGCUCGCAGCAGUGUGUAGCGGCCCCGCGGCACGCCCUCCACCGGCUCCCUGAUGAGUUGCAGGCCUGCCGCCUCGGGCGUGGUCGGGUCCAGAACGCCGCCGUCCGCCGUCAGCCACCUCGAGGGGCCGUUCAGGCGGAUGCGCCACGCCGCGUCCUUGCCCUUGCCCUUCGCCUUGCCGCCCGCGCCCCUGCCGGCCGCUGCCGCCCCGGCCGGGGCACCUGCGGCGGCGGCGGCGGCGCCGCCGCCCGUGACCUCUUGCAGCGGGCGCAGUGUGUCCGCAGCGCUCAAGCCGAGGACCGUGAAGAGCACUGCGCCGGCCCCGUCGCCGUCCGACACAGGCACCAUGUCUUGAGCUCCGGCGCCCGCGCCGCUGUCCAGCACCAGCGGCCCCAGCUCGGCGACGCAGGUGAGGCCCGCGGCGCGCAGGUCUGCCGGCUUCAGGGCCAGCAGCUUGCGACGCGGCGCGGCAGGGUCGCGCGACGGCAAGACGGUGACUGUGAAGUGAAUGGUAAAGGCCCGGACGCAGUGGCCCGCACGCAGGGCGUCCAGCUGGUUCCCGUCAUGCGGCGGUUGGCCUGCAGUCGCUGGCUGGGGGGCUGUCGCGGCUGCGGCUGCGGCUGCGGCUGCCCCCACCGCCGGUUGGGUUGCUGCCGCCACCAGGGUGGCUUCUGCUGCGUCUGCUGGUGCCGCUGCGGUGGCAGUUGGCGCCGCUGCAGGGUCGGACCCCGCGGCGGGUGCAGUCGCCGCAGCGGGCUCCCCGCCAGCGUCCGCCAUGUGAGCCUCCACCAAUGCCUGCUGUGCCUGCGGCGCAGCUAUGGGCGCUGUAGCUGCGGGGCUGGGUGCUGUCGCAACCGCAGCUGCCACCUGUGGCGGCGCGGCAGAGGGCAGGACCUCCACCGCAGCGCUGCCGGCGGGCGGCGGCGCUGCCUCUGGCCCCAUCGCGGCCAGCAGCACGGUUUGCAGGGACGGCGGCGAGACGGCGAAUGCAGACGCAGCCGGUUGCUUAGGCCCCGGCGCAGGCUGGAGCCCGCAGCCGCUCGCAUGCACAGCGGCAGUCGCGGCCUCGGGAGCCGCCGCAGGAGGGGCUACAGCUGCGACCGCGGCUGGCACCGGCUGCACCUCGUGCGAGCCAGCCUCGGCACCAGCUGUGCCACCGCCCGCGGCGGCGCCAACAUUUGCAGCAGCCGGGGCGGUGUCUGACCCCAGCGCAGGACCGCCCCCUACUACGCCUGCCCGUGGUGUUCCUGCAUCCGCCGCCGCCCCAACCGCCGCGCCCACGUCACUUAAUCCGACCACCUGGACUGGCAGCUGCUGCUGGGGCUGCUGCGUGGGCUGGUCACGUGGCUCCGACUGUUGGCCCGCCGAUGGCUCCACUGGCGACCCAGCCGCACCUGCAGCGACACCGGUGCUUACAGUCUUGGCAGGCGACAACGCAGCCGCCUCUGGCACCGGUGCCUGCCGCGGGAUUGCGAAUUUGUUCUUGCGGUGGCGGCGGAGCAGCGCCAGGGAGCUCACAUUGGCGAAGUCCACCGCCGGGGCUGCAGCUGAAGGCGCAGCCGUAGGAGGAGCUGUAGGUGCAGCUGAAGGUGCAGCUGUAGGUGCAGCUGUAGGUGCAACUGGCAUUUGGCGUGAGAGGUGUAAGAGAAGGCGGGGGCCACAGAGGGUAAGGAGAGGUAUGGCAUCUGCAGCCUCAUUGUAGCGGUAGCAGGCAGCUUUAACGACUUACGAGCGGUUCCCGCCGGAUUUCCACAGCUCCCCUUCGCUCCACCCUCAGCCGAUUGAGAGUCCGCAGGCUGUACAUCCAUGGUCAACUCGUUGUAUUCCAAAGCUCAAGGCAUGGCACCUCGCUUGCGCAACUCUCCCGACAAUGGCGCACUCCCCGGCGAGCCGUUCCGCCGCAUCAUAGCAACUAUGGAGUACAUGCAAUAUUUAGGCAUGCGUUUGCAUCGCUAAUUGCAAUAGGCACGUCUUGCCGAGGCAAGCCUAUACACGGCGGAUAUUUCUUUCGAGGGCGAACCUAGCCAGGCGUGGAGUACGUUGGUUUGAAUGUUGUUUGCGUAGAAAACUCCAGAUGUGGCUACGGAGUUGCGGAAGGGAUGAAUUUCUGCUGAACCCCAUUCCAGGCCCAGCCCUGGCCCUGAUAGCCCCGACCGCUCCCGGGGGACUGUUUGCAGGCUUGCCGUUAUCUUACAAGGUACCAGACUUCCUGCCAACAACGUCAGAUACCGAGAAGGUUGCAGGUCUGGGCGUUAAGCCCAGGAAUAUCGGCAUGCCAUUUCGUAACCAGCACUUUCUGGCAACCCGGUGCACACAACCUCCUCUGUCUCUGCUUCUCCGGUCAGGCCGCUCAAGCGGUCACUUGCUCAUGUGGAUAUGUGCACUUCAUUGAGUGCGCGCCUGCAUUGGGAUGCAGAUUCAACUGUAGAACCUCUGCCAGGGGAGUGGCACUCCCCUGACCUCUGCCCCUUGCGCUUACUCAAUACGAUUCCAUCGACUAGAGGCUGUUGCCACACGUCGUACUGCUCAUACAGGCCUCACGCGUUUUACUAAGCUAGCAUGAACGUCAAUGGGGGGGGCUGUGCGCGUUCAGGGGUACACGGUGGACGUUCGGGACAGUCGUUGCGGAUGGGCGGGAGAGGACAGUUCGUGCGGGAUCUGUGCGGCAGGCACGGUAAUUGAUGGGGGCGCCUGAAAAGACAGAUGAGCCAGUGCGGACCGGGGGAGGGAGCGAUUGGACUUGCUGUUCGCGCGACUGAAGAUGGAGGGAUGGGCGAAACAGGGGAAAUCGGUAACGGUAGUGGAGGGUCGGAGAACUUGGUUGGGCGGGGAAAGUAGUGGGAGGAGUGGGAAAAGUGUCUGUGUGUUCGUGGGGCGGCGGGAACGUGGCCCGCCGAGACUGCGCAAGUUCAGAAAAGACAGAAUGGAAGGUUCCAGACGAGGCCCGUGCUCAUGACGGCUUUUAUACGAGCUUUUAGCACACGUCCAUCACAUCUAUAUUGCCCAGGGGGCGACUGCGUUGCAAUCUCAGCACACAGCAUGCCAAGUUAUUGCACGCUCGUCCCAUGACAACUACAUCAGCGGGCAGACGUGAUCAAGGACUGGGCGCCAAAUUAAAUCACGUCAACACUCCGUAUACGUUGUUUUUACCCGCCGUUUCCUACGGAGAAAGCACGCAGAUACGGUCAAUUCAAUCUGGAAGCUCACACUUGGCGGUACAAACGUCUAAGUCUGCACACGCACGUCAGGCUGCGGUCACGCCUGAAUGCAUGAACAUGUAACACAUUUCACCUUGCUUUUAUAUCAUGGCUAUUCACGUGCCAACCUGCUGGGAGUUUCUGUCUCCAUCAACCUGCACUUCAAGCCAUAGUGUCGCUCCUGCAUCACGUUCCUACAGGCCACGCCGCGCGUGGCCAACACGCCAGCACACGCCGGGUUCUGCGCGGACCCGGCCGUGGACCGCACACACCCCCGCCGCAUUCACGGUGCCACGAGGCCGCACCCCACGUAGCAUACCGCAACACAUCACAGGUUCUUGGUGCUGAUGUAGUAGGGGCAGACCGCAAUGCUGAAGACGUUGCCUGCGGAUCGGCAGCAGUCCAGAGAAUGGAUACCAGUCACCACCGUAAUCCACACGCGUAACCCAGUUGCUACAGCCAUACGUAUCUAGAGGCAGGGUAUAUAUGUUUGUAUGUGCGGUUGUACGUUGUAUGUGCGCGCGUGCAGCGUGCGGACCUCCCCUCCUCAAUCUGCACGUAGACAGUGCCGGCCACACAGCCACUCCCCCGGUCCGAUGCACGCCGCUGUCACGUCCGAUGAAACGUCACGCCACGUUCCACCCACCCUGCCGUUGAGACUAUUCCAUUCGUAUGGGCUCUGGCUUGUAAUGUGCCUACCCACCCACCCACCCACCCACCCACCCACCCACCCACCCAGUCCUCCCACCACGCCCACGCCCACCUGUGAUGUGCUCCAGGCGCCACAUGCGCUCCCGCGCCCGCCGCCGCAGCACCACCACGUCGUACAGGUCGUCCAGCAUCUGGUGGUGGGCGGGUGGGGCGGGGGGCGGGCCGGGGUCAGUCGAGUGGCCGUGGGGCCUUCACGACUACGGACAAAGCACCGGAGCCGGUAAUUUCGCAUGACCAACCCUUUUCACCCACUGGGUAGCCGAGGUCAGCGCCUAACCAUACAUACAUAUACACACCCACCCACCCACCCACCCACCCACCCACCCACCCACCCACCCACCCACACCCACACCCACACCCACACCCACACCCACACCCACACCCACACCCACACCCACACCCACACCCACACCCACACCCACACCCACACCCACACCCACACCCACACCCACACCCACACCCACACCCACACACACACCCACACACACACACACACACACACACACACACACACACACACACGCACACACACCACCAUCAUGCCGCGCAUGGGCUGGAAGCUCUCUGGCUCUGAGACCCUCAAAGUCCCCCUAGCGAAGCUGUCCGUCCGCAUGGCCACAUCCAUGCAGCUGGACGAUGUGGCCACGCGGCGGGCGGACCUACACGAGGAUUAUGAGCGCGCGGCACAGGGCCUCCCGCCGCGCGCUGUGGUGCGGCGGGAGGACCUGCCAGCAGCUGCGGCUGCAACGCUUGGCGCCAUUAGGGACACCCUGGCGCGCCUUUGGCAGAAGGUGUGGUGGGAACGGCGACACUUUGAGACGCUGUGGCGGUUGGCCAUCGACGCAGUGCCGCUGCCGGGAAACUCGCAUAUGCCGUUGGCUCGCCGUGAGCCAUGCGGCUGUGGGCAACACGGCCAUGGGGGCGCCGCGGUGGAGACACACGCCGCCGCCGCGCCCACGCCACGGCAGCACCACUUCUGGGAUUGCGCGGUGGCGAAGGCCGUGGUGGCGCAGAUCAACGCACACAACCCCGGUCCGGCUCCCAUCAGCCAAGCCCAGCUGUGGCUGGUUCAGGCGCCGCCGGGUUUUCAGCAGUGUGUUUGGGACGUGGUGGUGAUGGCGGCGCUGGCCGCCACAGAACAUGGCCGGGUGCGGCUGCGCGGGAUGACGCGCGCCGCAGCGGCCCUGGGAAUUCAGACGGCGGCGGCAGCAGCUCCCGAGGCUGCGGUGGCAGGUGCAGCGGAGGCGGAACCCGAUCUUGACGAGAUCCCGCCCACACAGCUGACGCCGCCGCAGCCAGGCGUCAACCCCGUCGAGCUUGCGUGCGCUCGUGCAGUCGCGGACUUCUGGUCGCGGCUGAUGCAGUUUGCGCAGCUCGGCGUGCCCCAAAAGGGCUGGGAUGGUGUUGACGCCACUCACCCCAUCCUGGCGGUGGUGAACGGUGAAAUGCUGUGCGCGAUGCCGCAAGCUAUGGAGCUGGAGGCUUGAAAGGGAUCAGCCCUUAGGAGAAGCGCGUGAGCACUAACAUGAGCCACUGAAGCAGUGGCAUACGAGAGGGUCAGCGGGGGAGCUUAGUGGGCAGGCGAAGGGUUUUUUUUGUUUUACGCCCGUGGGAGCAGGGCCAGGUUUGCGGGGUUUUUAUGCCUGAGAGGGUGUAUUGGGUGCUGCAACACCCCGGGUCUUACGGCCUGGACCGGCCUAGUGGCCAGACGCGUUUGUGGCUGCCCUUAGGCAUUGUCUGCCCUGGCGUCGAGAGCUGGUUAGGUUGCGGUUGAGGUCGUGCAGGCUGCCGGGUCGUAGGACUCAGCCCCGCAGCCACUGUGGUCGUGCUUUCGCGUGCUGUCACGUGCUGAGUGUUUUGUUUUGUUUGCUGUUUUUGUCUGCCCGCCUGGUUUUAUUAAGAGGUAGCUCGCCCGCUGGGUCUGAGGUUGUUACACCGGUAGUAAUUCCGCAAGGAUUACUGGCGCGGUGAAGGGUCGGAGUGCGUUGCCCUGUGGACUCCAGAGCUGUUUUGCGCUCUGCCGGGGAAACGCCAGGUCACGGCAGCCCUCGAUUGAGAGCCCUGUCGUUGGUUAUACCAGAUACACGAUUCACGUGAUCUGGCAGAAUAACCGUGGAAACCGUAGUCACACACACACACACACACACACACACACACACACACACACACACACACACACACACACACACACACACACACACACACACACACACACACACACACACACACACACACACACACACACACACACACACACACACACACACACACACACACACACACACACACACACACACACACACAGAGAGAUACACACACACAGAGAGAUACACACACACACAGCACAACGUGACCGCAGCCCGAGUCCCGCACAUCCAACACCUGCAACUUUCACCCGGCCCCCUGGGUCCCCUCGCCCCAGCGCCUCACCUCGCGGUUGAGCGCGAAGUGUGUGUGGCGCAUAGCGUUGACGAUGGAGGCCAGGAAGGACAGGUCGAUCACGUCCAGGUCCAGCGGCACGCGCGUCACCGGGUCCGUGAUCUGGUACACGCGCCUGCCCUGCAUGUGUAUGCCACACGUGCCGGUGCAUGUGUUCGCGAGCACAGGCAUGGCAUGGGGUGUUAGAAGAGCACAAGAAAGGGGCGACAUCGUGCUGUACACGUGUGUGGGUGCACGCGAGUGGAAGUACAGUCGAACCACCUGAGGAAGUGUGGCAGGAUCGGCCAGGCGCAGUGGCCUUGAACACAGGGGUCAGUGUCGCACAGCCAUCGCGCAGUCCCUCCCACCCCCGCCUGUGACACACGCGCCGCCACCCACCAGGCUCUUCUCCAACCAACCGUACAACACGGGCUUGCGCAGGCGGCGGCGGUAAUGCACCACCCGCUCGCACCACCACGCCAGCUCCUUCGCUCCCUCCUCUUCUUCUUCCUCCUCCUCCUGCUGCCCAUGCCCCUCUCCAUGCCCGGCAGCCGGCGCCGCCGCCUCCACGUCAGCUAAGAAAGCUGCGACAGCCUUGCGCGCCGCUGGGCGCAGGCGCUGCAGCCGCGAGUCAAACAUCGUCAUCAAAAAGUAGUAUAGACAACGCACGCUGCAUAUCGGGAAGUGCGAAAGCGGCAAAGCGCGCAGCAAAACUGCACGCGUCCAGAACUGCGGUUGCGAAGGCCAUUGCCUCUGAGUCCGUGCUGGCUGGAUGUUUUCGUUUGUUAGGGCAGCAGCAUGCUCGCCAUCAAGAAGAGUGUAGAGUGAGCAGCGGGCCCCUUGCAGACCAAUGGGGUUUUAAACAUUGAUGCCAAAAUUUCACAACCAGAUCAAACUGUGAUUGCAACAGCGCGUUCUUACACUGUAAUCGUUCAGCAAUCGAAAUACACGCGUGUUGCCCUGAGCGGCAUCGCCGCGCGCAAAAUAGUAGUCUCUUUUGGCGCGCUCCGACAACUGGGGCGCCCGCUCUCGCCAGCGCUCUCGCCGUGUUAGCCUGCAAUCCAAUUGAAAUGAUGCAUUGCUCUCCCGACCAUUUCUAAUGCUGUGACCGGAUGCAUCAUCGUGGUUCCUCCGCUCACGCACUCCGCAUAGCAACACUCUGCCUGCCUUUGACUGGAACCCGCGCCCUGGCAACCGUCAAACGUAGAGCAGGUACAGACCACCCUCGCCAGCGCCCAACGGACUGUCAAAUUUCAUCCAGUCAUAGCAACUGCCCUGCCGUCAGCAUUCUUGCCCGCAUGAAAUUUACAUACCAUACAGUACCGUAAUGGGACACGCGCACUUAUCUUACAAGUUACAACUAUUCCCAGACCCCGCACCGGCGGUGGCAUGCCGCCCGCAAAUCCCUCGCCAACGCCCAGCCCCGCGUUGCCAGCUGCCGCCGCAGCAUGUGCACGCCGCCGCCGCUGGGGCCACCGCCGAGGCCGCCGCCUUAGCGGGCGCUGCCGCUGCCGCCCGCCGGAGCGCUGCCGGCAGGGAAGCGCCAGCCCAACGGCGUCGCCGCCAGCCGCGCCGCGCGCCACUCCAUGAAGCUCCUGGGCGCGUUGGGGUUGGGCCCGGGCCCGCCCGGCUCCGAGUCGGGGUCGAAGAUGUUGCUUCGCAGCCGGAUCCUUUUCAUCCGCCGCAGAAUUAGCUCCUCGCACCCCAUGUCAGGAAGGUAGUGAAGCCGCCCGCCCACUACCUCGUCCAGCGGCGGAAGCUGGUGGCGGUACGGAUCACUGCGGUCGGCAGCAGUCGCACGGCGGCAGGGAGGGGCAGGGGUGGCGGCAGGGGUGGGGGCAGGGGGAGGGGUAGGGAGGGGGUGUUGGACAGAAGCCACGUGGGUAACAGUGAAGGGACAUGCAGACGGUCGGGGCUGGGAAGGAUGGGCACGGUUGCCUGCCAUGCAUGGGCGCGUGACCAAGUAAGCUGAAUUACAAGGUAUCCCCAAACCAGACAUAACCAAGCAAAGGAGCCCUUUCGGUUUACCUGAAUGGCUCGUAGCGCCCAGAGCUGCAAUCACCGCCGCCGCCGCCUAGCCUGCUGUUGGCGGCGCCGCUGCCGGCUGCUGCUGAUGCCGGUGACUCCUUGGCCGGCACGUCACGGCCGGGCCCGCUGCCUGCCGCGCGCCGUGCCUCUCGGCCCUGAGCACCUGCGGCCUCCUCCGCGAGUGGCACGGCAUCGGCCGCACCGCCUGCUGGUGCCGCUGCCGCUGCCGCUGCCGCUGUGGCUGUGGCUGAUGCACCUGCGGUGCUCGAGUGAGUGCGGAGGUCCUCCCACUCAGCCGUCGCGGUCGCGGCACCACCAUGACCGUCACCGUCGCCCCAGCCGCCCGAUGCUUCAGCCGCAGUCGCGGCGGAGGGCUCCGCGCCGCCGGCUUGGUGUGGCUCGGGCGCGUCAGCCGCAGCGGCGCCCUUCCCACCCGCCGUGCCACGCACUUGCGCGGAUGUCGCUGCAGCGGCCACGUCUGAUGUGCCUGCGCUGCUCCGGUACACGGAGCCCCCGACCCAGCCUACCGGACCCACCGCGUCACCGCGAGCUUCCGCUUGGGCCUCAGGUGCCAUGCCUGCCCCGUCCCCCUCGCCGCCACCGCCAGCACACCGGCCGCCCUCUGCUUCGGCGCGGCGGCGCUUGCCCGACUCCGGGCUUGACCCCGCUGCCCGCUCGCCAUCCUGCGCCUGGCUUCCUGACUGGCCAGGACUGCGCCCCCGCGGGCCAGGCUCCGGGUCCCGCUCGCGCCCCUGGCCUCGGUCCCGGCCUCGGUCUGAAGCCUUGCCGCUGCUGCGGCCCGGAUCCCGCUUUGGCUCCGGCCCUGGCUUCGGCUCGUUGCCGCUGCCGCCGCCGCGCGCUCGCCCCUCCAGGUCAUGCUGCCGCUCCUGCUCGCCCUCGCGCCGGCGCUUCUGCCCCCGGUCGCUAUCACGCUCCCGCUCUCGCUCCUGCUCCCGGCCGCGUGUAGACUCCUUCUCGUCAUGCUUGCGUUGCUGGUCAUGCUCGCGCUCACUGCC
rnacentral:lncRNA from 1 species